GGCUCUGUGGCGCAAUGGAUAGCGCAUUGGACUUCUAGACUAAUGACUGGGUGAAGUCAUUCAAAGGUUGUGGGUUCGAGUCCCACCAGAGUCG